GGGUUUGAUCCUGGCUCAGGAUGAACGCUGGCGGCGUGCCUAAGACAUGCAAGUCGAGCGACGAAACCGCUGUCGGAGCCGAAAGGUGAAGACAGGGGCUGAAAGCGGCGAACGGGUGAGUAACACCUGGAUAAUCUACCUUCGAGUGGGGGAUAACCACGCGAAAGCGUGGCUAAUACCGCAUGACGCCCCGGUUCCAUGAACCGGGGAUAAAAGGACGCGCGAGCAAUCGCGCGUGCGCUGGGAGAUGAGUCCGGGUCCUAUCAGCUAGUUGGCGGGGUAACGGCCCACCAAGGCUACGACGGGUAGCUGGUCUGAGAGGACGGUCAGCCACACUGGGAUUGAGAUACGGCCCAGACUCCUACGGGAGGCAGCAGUCGGGAAUUUUGGACAAUGCCCGAAAGGGUGAUCCAGCGACGCCGCGUGGAGGAUGAAGGCCUUCGGGUCGUAAACUCCUGUCAGGCGGGGAGAAGUUCCGCGCAAGCGGAAUUGACGGUACCGCCAGAGGAAGUCCCGGCUAACUCCGUGCCAGCAGCCGCGGUAAGACGGAGGGGGCUAGCGUUAUCCGGAUUGACUGGGUGUAAAGGGCGCGUAGGUGGUUCGGCGGGUCUGACGUUAAAGCCCCCGGCUUAGCCGGGGAAACAUGUCGGAAACUACCGAGCUUCGAGUCUGAAAGAGGAGAGCGGAACUCCUGGUGUAACGGUGAAAUGUGUGGAUAUCAGGAGGAACACCGGUGGCGAAGGCGGCUCUCUAGUUCAAGACUGACACUGAGGCGCGAAAGCUGGGGGAGCAAACAGGAUUAGAUACCCUGGUAGUCCCAGCCCUAAACGAUGGGUGUUAGGUAUCGGCCUUUCGGGGUCGGUGUCGUAGCUAACGCGUUAAACACCCCACCUGGGGAGUAUGGCCGCAAGGCUGAAACUCAAAGGAAUUGACGGGGGCCCGCACAAGCGGUGGAGCAUGUGGUUUAAUUCGAUGUACGCGAAAAACCUUACCAGGGCUUGACAUGCUGGAAGUAGAACCCGGAAACGGUGACGAUCGGUAUCCAGUCCGAAGCCAGCACAGGUGGUGCAUGGCUGUCGUCAGCUCGUGUCGUGAGAUGUUGGGUUAAGUCCCGCAACGAGCGCAACCCUUGCCCUUAGUUACUUUGGUUAACUCCGAAGCUCCUAAGGGGACUGCCGCAGACAAUGCGGAGGAAGGUGGGGAUGACGUCAAGUCAGCAUGCCCCUUAUGUCCUGGGCGACACACGUGCUACAAUGGCCGGUAUAAAGGGACGCCAAACCGUAAGGUGGAGCAAACCUCAAAAAACCGGUCCCAGUUCGGAUCGAGGUCUGAAAUUCGACCUCGUGAAGCCGGAAUCGCUAGUAAUCGCGAAUCAGAAAUGUCGCGGUGAAUACGUUCUCGGGCCUUGUACACACCGC
rnacentral:rRNA from 1 species